UCUAAACCUUUCUUGCGAUGCUAGUGAGCGUUUUCCAUGGAUACGACUACAAUAUUUCAUUUUUUUGUCAUUACAGAUGAAUGAGUGAUGUAAUUCSAACSAUUAUUCAAGGAAAUCGAGGAUUUUUUCUUGUUUACAUUCCUGUUUUUAUCCAUCUGCGCAUUAAGAAUCCAUUUUUGCGUCAAUUUUGAAAUUUAUUUGAAAAUUUGUCGUGCAAUUCACUUUGAAAUCAUUUGUAAAGUUAAAAAAAGAKUUUGAAACUAGAUCCUUCCCACUWWUUUUUUUCCAAUUUGUUUCUUUUUUAUUUUUUAAUUGAUAAAUAGAAAAGGCUUUCGCAAAAUGAGUUAUAUACAAAUAGUGUGCGAAUG
rnacentral:rRNA from 1 species